GGGUGCGAUCAUACCAACGUUAAUGCACCGGAUCCCAUCAGAACUGCGCAGUUAAGCGCACUUGGGCCAGAGUGGUACUGGGAUGGGUGACCUCCCAGGAAGUCCUAGUGUUGCACCCU
rfam:Picea glauca, whole genome shotgun sequence.